rnacentral:rRNA from 1 species
ACAUGCCUACAACAUAACAUUAAUGCACCAGAUCCCAUUAGAACUCUGGAGUUAAGCACACUCAGGCUAGAGUAGUAUUGGGAUGGGUGACCGCCCAUGAAGUCUUAGUGUUUUACAUGCC